UAGGGAAUCUUCCACAAUGGACGAAAGUCUGAUGGAGCAACGCCGCGUGAGUGAAGAAGGUUUUCGGAUCGUAAAGCUCUGUUGUUGGUGAAGAAGGAUAGAGGCAGUAACUGGUCUUUAUUUGACGGUAAUCAACCAGAAAGUCACGGCUAACUACGUGCCAGCAGCCGCGGUAAUACGUAGGUGGCAAGCGUUGUCCGGAUUUAUUGGGCAUAAAGCGAGCGCAGGCGGAAUGAUAAGUCUGAUGUGAAAGCCCACGGCUCAACCGUGGAACUGCAUCGGAAACUGUCAUUCUUGAGUGCAGAAGAGGAGAGUGGAACUCCAUGUGUAGCGGUGGAAUGCGUAGAUAUAUGGAAGAACACCAGUGGCGAAGGCGGCUCUCUGGUCUGCAACUGACGCUGAGGCUCGAAAGCAUGGGUAGCGAACAGGAUUAGAUACCCUGGUAGUCCAUGCCGUAAACGAUGAGCGCUAGGUGUUGGGGACUUUCCGGUCCUCAGUGCCGCAGCAAACGCAUUAAGCGCUCCGCCUGGGGAGUACGACCGCAAGGUUGAAACUCAAAGUGAAUUGAC
rnacentral:rRNA from 1 species